GAGAGAGGCCGCGUGGAUCUGAGCGCAUGCCCGUCGGGCUGCCGGGUCUGUGCUGGAAACCACAAACCUCGUGCGGGAACCUGAAGGACAGAGCGUCAAAGGUAUGGGAGCGGGGGCUUGCCCAGGUCCUCCGCAGGGUAUGGACAAAAACCCCAGCACAUGGUGACUCCGGAAACCCCAAACCCCUGCAAAAUGACAACCCGAGGAGAGUAGUGGGGUCUGGGAGUAAAAAGACCUGUCUUCUCCCCCAGCUCUACUGUGAGGUCAGCUGUAGGCAAAGCCGACUCCGGGCCUGUUUGCCACCUGCAGAAUGGGGGCACUGGACAAGACGGCCGCUGAGGGCUCCCAGCCCUGGGAGCUCCCUAAACCUGCUCCAGUUCCAGAGGAAGGAAGCUGAGAUGAGCGGCAGGUCUCAGCCAUUUAGGGUCAGGAAUGGGGGUGCAGCGCUCAGCUCUCAAGCCUGGAGCUUGUGGGAGGAUGAGUAAGAGAAGGGAAACAGGGACCCUGACACGAUUGGGGGACCCAUACUAUUGGGGUUCCUAGCAGGAAUGGGAGGCAAUACCAGGACUGGAAGCCUUCACAGGUUAAGGGGUGCUGAUCGGUUCAGGGACUCUUGCAAGAUAGAGAUUCACUAACAAGAUUGAGAAUCAGGGAUCCCUGGCUUAACUAGGCGGUGGGGAAUGGGGGGCAAGAGGAAUAGGGGUACUGCCCAAAUCGAGGAAGACCCGGGGUGCUUUGCAGGGCGUGAGAGCACCGUGGCAGGAUUGGGGAGCGCAGGCAGACCAGGAACUGACAUGGCUGGGGAGUCCGGAAGGACUGGGGGUGCCCUGAAAGGAUUAAGGGGUCCUGGGAGGCCUGCGAGGCCCUGAGAGGUCUGAGGGGCACUGGCAGAAUUCGGGGCUUUGACGAGCCCGAGGGUGUCUGGAAGUUCUGGAGACAAGGACAGGAUUGGAGGAGGCAGUGGCGGGCGGGGAUGGGAGGGCAGGGCGCUGAGAGAAUUUGGGGCGCUAGCAGAACUGGGGAGGGCUGACAGAAUUGCGUUGCCGAACGACUGGAGGCCCUGGAGGCCCAUCCCCCGUCCCGCCUCGGGGCCUGGGUCUCCUACCAAGCCCGACGCAGAAACCUCCAGAAUGCUCGCUCCGGCCCCGGGGACCCUGCCAGGGUCGUGAAAAGGCCGCCACAGGCCCAGGCUGGGGACCCUGGCCCCGGCCCCCCCGGCCCCCCCCCCCCCCCCCCCCCCCCCCAGGCUCACCUGACGGCCGCCCCGGUCCGCAGGAAGCGCUGGAUGGCCCUGUCGGCCGCGGUCAUCGCCGCCUGGGCCCGGGAGCUCAGCAUCGCGGCCGCGCGGGAGACCCGCCGCCGCGCCCCCCGCCGCCACCACCUCGCUGGACUGAGGGCUCCGAAGGCUCCCGAGGCGGCGGAACCCGCGGCCACAGUCCCAGCUCCUCCGGGGAAGGUAGGCCGGGGACCGGCUCCCCGGAGAACCGGAAGCAGCCGCCGCCGGAGAACAAGAGACGACGGACCACAUCCUUGUUUUUCUUUUUCCCCGCUUAGCAACGCGCGCGGGCGUCGGUUACCGAGGGAGGCCCUGCGGCCCGCUUGGUUUUUCAAGUUUUCGGGCUCCGUUCGUUUUACAUACGGGCGUCCCACUUCCAG
rnacentral:lncRNA from 1 species